rnacentral:lncRNA from 1 species
AUGGAUAUGAAGGAGACAGUGGGUAAUAGGCAAUCUACCUGUGACAAAAUUCUUUGCUUUGAAAAGUUUGCCAUGGGAGAAAAUAGUUUUAGAUUAGUUAUGGUAGAUGGAAAUUUGAUGAGACCAAAUGUAGUUUAUCAGUUGCCGAACAUAAGGACAGAUGCAAACUGUCCCAGUCCUUUUUCGGUAAGUGAUGCAGAAAGUUGUACCUGUGUAAACACUUUCAUGCCUCUGACUAGCUUCCCCUUCUCAGAUAUUAAGUAUUCAAACCUCAUUUACAUCCUUAUUUUUCAAUUUGCUGCCACAGUAGUUUAAUUUAUUCUAUAUAAUUUCUUUUUCUGAGGGGACAUUAAUCAUUGCCCCGUGCUUUUGGGUGCCUCUGGGAUAUGUGUGUGUGAGAGAGACUGUGUGUUUUAAAUCAAUAAAACAAAGAAACCGUCCCUCUUCUCCCCUCCCCACCCCAGCCCCUAUUCUCAUCUAGUACCCACCCACCCCAUUCUCCCCCUUUGCCGGAGGAGAGAAACGUAAUUUCUCUCUCAGUUCUUUUCAUUGUUUCCUAUGUUUGAAGAUUAAUUCCUCUCUGACAAGUGUGGGUGAGAAGGGAUAGUACAUACCGGCAUCAGAGACAGGUUUCCUUGCCAUACAGCUGAAGUCUAGAUAGACCCACUUUCUGAAGGAAAUGUAAAAUGGGCUUUAUUUUCUCUUUCUUUCUUAGAAAGGCACACCUUCUCAUCCUUUGUGGCUGUCAGAAUGAUAUACACACACACAGUGAGCCAUGAGGAGAGGCAGGUAACAAAUACAUAUUAUUAUUAUGAUUAUUGACACAACGACGUUGUAUGACACAGCAAACAAGAUAGAUAUGCUGGAUUUCGUAUAUUAUUAUUAUUAUUAUUAUUAUUAAUGUAUAUAUAUAUAUAUAUAUAUAUAUAUAUAUAUAUAUAUAUAAAAGGAGCCCCGGUGGCGAAGUGCUUUAAAGCACUGAGCUGGAGACCGAAAGGUCUCAGGUUCAAACCCCAGGAGCGGCGUGAGCGGUCGCUGUUAGCUCCAGCUCCUGCCAACCUAGCAGUUUGAAAACAUGCCAAUGUGAGUAGAUCAAUAGGUACUGCUCCGACGGGAAGGUAACGGCGCUCCAUGCAGUCAUGCCGGCCACAUGACUUUGGAGGUGUCUACGGACAACGCCGGCUCUUUGGCUUAGAAAUGGAGAUGAGCACCAACCCCCAGAGUCAGACAUGACUGGACUUAACGUCAGGGGAAACCUUUACCAUAUAUAUAUAUAUAUAUAUAUAUAUAUAUAUAUAUAUAUAUAUAUACACACACACACACACACACACACACACACACACACACACACACACACACGAUGCUAGGAUAUUAUUAAAUGGCCUAAGAAUUGCAACUAUGUGUGUGUUAUAGGAGGUUGACAUAGAUCAGAACUUCUAAAUUCAAGAAGAAUGUAAACAGAUCACUUAAUGCAGGGCUAGGCAGAUGUUGCAGGGCUGCAUAUUUCUUGCAAUCUAAGAAGAAGAAAAAGUCACAUUACAAAUAUUUUGCCCUCAUAUACACCUGAAUGCCUUCUAGGGGGCAUUGGGAACAUUUUUGAAAAAUAGAUUACCUAGGCCUAAAAUAUGUGAAAUCUUUCCUAUAGUGCAUUUGGGGGCAUCUGGGAAUAAUAAUAAUAAUAAUAAUAAUAAUAAUAAUAAUAAUAAUAAUAAUAAUAAUAGACAUUGACAAAAUCACGAUCUGCCAACUGCAAAAAGCCACCCUGCUGGGAUCUGCACGCAUCAUCCGAAAAUACAUCACACAGUCCUAGACACUUGGGAAGUGUUCGACUUGUGAUUUUGUGAAACGAAACCCAGCAUAUCUAUCUUGUUUGCUGUGUCAUACAACGUCGUUGUGUCAAUAAUAAUAAUAAUAAAUUUAUUCUUGUACCCUGCCUCUAUCUCCCCGCAGGGACUCAGGGUGGCUUACAAAUGCAAAACAAGUAUACAUACAUAAAACAUCAAAUACCAAAAACACACGAAUGAAAAUUAAAACAUACAAUUAAAAUCAAACCAUUAAUAAGACAAAGUUAAAACGCAGCAAUAAAAGAUAAGGAUGGGCUGAUCAAAGUGCACUAAGUGAGACUUGUAGACAUGGAGGAAGUUAAAAGUGCUAUAAGAACAUGGAGGAGAACCCAAAAGUGAGUUGAACUCUGAGGCUAUUAGAGAAAUUACCCAUGCGGAUGCAACCGAUCAAUGAUAACCAUUUGUACAAGAAUUUAACAUUCAAGAGGGUGGUACUUAUUCAAAAGCUUGUGUGAACAACCAAGUUUUCAGGCUUUUCCUAAACCCUUCCAGGUGGCAGCUAGCCGAAUUUCCAAUAGCCCUGGAUCCCACUUUGCCCACUCUUGCCCUAAUGGAAACUAAAUGGAGAACUGCUCAUAUUGAAUCAUCAUGACCAUACCCCACAAAGUGGGCAUGGGAAUGAAAGAGAAUUUUUGAAAAAAGCAAAAAAUUCACCUGCUGCUAAAAUUUACUCCCACAAAUAUUGCAUUAUUUGCUAGAGAAAAAGUUGUCCCACAGGUAAACUCAGAUGGCAUGCCACCCAUCUUUUUUUUCCUUUUUGAAAUUAUUUUAUUAAUUAUUUGACACAAGCAAUCUAAUAUGCAAUCAGAAAAUAUACAUUCAAAAAUAAUGGAAUGUGUCUAGAUCUGUAUUCAAAUGACAACUUGUACUAAAUAAGUAUACCAGCUACUUCUCCCCCCUCCAUAUCAUAUGCAGAAAUCCUAAUGUAAAUUUCUAAAAAAGAAACUCCUUGCAAGGAAGGGAAUAUAUCGUCAUGAUCAAGAGAAUUUCAGAAUACAGUAGAGUCUCACUAUCCAAGCUAAACGGGCUGGCAGAAGCUUGGAUAAGCGAAUAUCUUGGAUAAUAAGGAGGGAUUAAGGAAAAGCCUAUUAAACAUCAAAUUAGGUUAUGAUUUUACAAAUUAAGCACCAAAAUAUCAUGUUAUACAACAAAUUUGACAGAAAAAGUAGUUCAAUAUGCAGUAAUGUUAUGUUGUAAUUACUGUAUUUACGAAUUUAGCACCAAAAUAUCACGAUAUAUUGAAAACAUUGACUGCAAAAAUGGUUUGGAUUAUCCAGAGCCUUGGAUAAGCGAGGCUUGGAUAAGUGAGACUCUACUGUAUGUCUAAACACAUCAUGUUUACAUAUCACAUUAAUAAAAAAAAUAACCCCAUAAGAAUGGGAACAGGCAAUAAAAGUAUUUUCUUGUGGUUUGAGCUUUUUGACUGUUUUAUACACACCAGUACAGAUAACUAUACCUAUAAAAACCGAGUUUGCAUACAUUGAAAGAUGUUUAAAAUCAUAGUCAAAUGUUUCCUUAACAUUAUUCCAACAUAUUUAACCUUUUCAGGAAUCACUUAUUUCUAAUUUUGUGACAUUCCAGCUUGUCCAAAUAGCAUUAUGUAUUUCUUUUUCUUUAAAUAUUUUUUUCCUUUCCCUCUUCCUUUUUUUCUUUCCCCCCCCCCUUCCCUCCCCCCCCCCAAUCUUGUCUGCAUGGGGGACAAUAAUAACAGGCCAUUAGGAA